GCUGCUGAAUUUGGGUCAACAAGGAGCCAGUCUGGGCUCAGAAGACUGACUUAUGGAGGGUGAAUACACCAAAGAAGAGGAAACUGAAGCUUAGAAAAAGGAUCAGUAACUUCCCCAAGGCUACACAGCUAGUAAAAGUUGGAUUAUCUUCAUGGCUUUGACUGACCAGCUCAGUAUCCUUUAAGGCACAACUGAAUUCUCUGGACCCUUCUUAAAUGAGAGGGCUGGACUACAUGAUCACCAAGACCGUUCCAAAGGUCAGUUCCUACAGUCUCUAUACUUUGUGGAUUCAGUCUUUGAGCCUAGCUCACUUAUUCAAUUUCCUAAAUAUAAUGCUUUUUAUUUGGAGCAAAUACGUGUAUAAUUUUAUUACUGGUAACAUACCACUUAUCUCUAAUGUGAGCUGUGUAGGUUAAUAAAACUGUAAUCGUUUAUUGCAUUUCUUGCAUACGAGGUGCAAGUCCGGGGAGAGGAAAUCCCGGGGCAAAAUACCUCUAAAAGCUGAAAUCAGUUGAAGGGAGAAAUAAAGUUUAAAACCCAUUUAUUGCUUAUAAAUUGCAGUCCAGGGCCAUCUCUCUCCCCUGCUCCAGAAGGAAGCAAGUAAGUCAGCAAGCCAGCCCCUCCCUUUAAAUGCCGAGGUUCAGACAUGCCCUCCGUUGCCCAGGUAAUUACCCAUUGACAUAGAAAUGAACUUCUCUCCACCGCUGAGGAUAUGCAAAAUGCACUAAAGUCAGGUGAGAUAAUCUGGAAAUGUUACAAUUUUA